rnacentral:rRNA from 1 species
GCUCAUCGCAUGGUCUUCUGGGAAAGCCUUUGCGGCAUGGGAUGGGGUCGCGUCCUAUCAGCUUGAUGGCGGGGUAACGGCCCACCAUGGCUUCGACGGGUAGCCGGCCUGAGAGGGCGACCGGCCACAUUGGGACUGAGAUACGGCCCAGACUCCUACGGGAGGCAGCAGUGGGGAAUAUUGCACAAUGGGCGCAAGCCUGAUGCAGCGACGCCGCGUGAGGGAUGGAGGCCUUCGGGUUGUAAACCUCUUUUGUUAGGGAGCAAGGCAUUUUGUGUUGAGUGUACCUUUCGAAUAAGCACCGGCUAACUACGUGCCAGCAGCCGCGGUAAUACGUAGGGUGCAAGCGUUAUCCGGAAUUAUUGGGCGUAAAGGGCUCGUAGGCGGUUCGUCGCGUCCGGUGUGAAAGUCCAUCGCUUAACGGUGGAUCCGCGCCGGGUACGGGCGGGCUUGAGUGCGGUAGGGGAGACUGGAAUUCCCGGUGUAACGGUGGAAUGUGUAGAUA